rnacentral:rRNA from 1 species
CCUACGGGUGGCAGCAGUGAGGAAUAUUGGUCAAUGGACGAGAGUCUGAACCAGCCAAGUAGCGUGAAGGAUGACUGCCCUAUGGGUUGUAAACUUCUUUUAUAUGGGAAUAAAACGUUCCACGUGUGGGAUUUUGUAUGUACCAUAUGAAUAAGGAUCGGCUAACUCCGUGCCAGCAGCCGCGGUAAUACGGAGGAUCCGAGCGUUAUCCGGAUUUAUUGGGUUUAAAGGGAGCGUAGGUGGAUUGUUAAGUCAGUUGUGAAAGUUUGCGGCUCAACCGUAAAAUUGCAGUUGAAACUGGCAGUCUUGAGUACAGUAGAGGUGGGCGGAAUUCGUGGUGUAGCGGUGAAAUGCUUAGAUAUCACGAAGAACUCCGAUUGCGAAGGCAGUUCACUGAACUGCAACUGACACUGAGGCUCGAAAGUGUGGGUAUCAAACAGGAUUAGAUACCCCUGUAGUG